UCGAGCCGGAUGAUGAAAAAUUAUCAUGUCCGGUUCUUCGGAGGAUGAUUUUUAAGAAUUCACCUAUCCCAAU
rnacentral:ncRNA from 1 species